rnacentral:rRNA from 1 species
AAACAACCAGGAUGUUGGCUUAGAAGCAGCCAUCAUUUAAAGAAAGCGUAACAGCUCACUGGUCUAAACAAGGGUUUCUGCGCCGAAAAUGUAACGGGGCUAAAGCUACGUACCGAAGCUGCGGGUGUGGAGCAAUCCACGCUGUAGAGGAGCGUUCCGUAAGCCUGUGAAGGGAUACCCGUGAGGGGUCCUGGAGGUAUCGGAAGUGCGAAUGCUGACACGAGUAACGAGAGGAGUGUGAGAAACACUCCCGCCGAAAAGUCCAAGGGUUCCUGCGUAAAGUUAAUCUGCGCAGGGUUAGCCGGCCCCUAAGGCGAGGGCGAAAGCCGUAGCCGAUGGGAACCACGUUAAUAUUCGUGGGCCAGUGGGUGAGUGACGGAUGCCGCAAGUUGUCGAGGCUUAUCGGAUUGCCGAGGCAGCGAAGGUGUCCCAGGAAAUAGCCCCCACAUAGACCGUACCCGAAACCGACACAGGUGGACUGGUAGAGAAUACCAAGGCGCUUGAGAGAAGUGUGCUGAAGGAACUCGGCAAAUUACCUGCGUAACUUCGGG